CUGACUCAAUGAUGAGUGCAUAGUUCAGCAGAUUAACCGUGGUGAACGACUAUUGUCUUUCGCUCCUAGCUGAUGUGUCGG
ensembl:snoRNA